CGAGUCGGCCGGGUGAUCGCGGCCCGGGUAACCGGGCUGAGGAAAGUCCGGACUCCGCAGAGCAGGGUGGUGGGUAACACCCACCCGGGGUGACCCGCGGGACAGUGCCACAGAGAACAGACCGCCCGGCCCAACGGCCGGGUAAGGGUGAAACGGUGGUGUAAGAGACCACCAGUGCGCCGGGUGACCGGCGCAGCUCGGUAAACCCCACCCGGAGCAAGACCAAGAAGGCCAGUCCGCUGGCCGCGGAAACCGUCUGAGCGCUGCUCGCGCGAGGUUUCCGGGUAGGUUGCAGGAGCCCACCGGCAACGGCGGGCCUCAGAUGGAUGGUCACCGUCAGACAAAAUCCGGCUUACAGGCCGGCUCGUCCC
rfam:Pseudopropionibacterium propionicum F0230a chromosome, complete genome.